AUACGAGACAGGUCAGACGAUCUUGGAAAGCUGCCAGCUGGUACUGUGAGUAUUUAAGUAGUCUAUAAGCAAGAGUAUAGGGGAGAGAUAUCAAUGAUUUGAUUAAGUGGUUGUAAAGAGAGAAGAGUCUCUCGUGUGUAAGGCUUUCUUUGUAAUCCUUGUUUUGAAUCAAUAAUAGAAAAAUAAUCUUCUCUUAAAUCACAACUUCUUAUCAAUACGUUACAAUCUAUGUAACACAAGCCAACCUAGUCUUUGUAGCAACUGAUGGAUUAGGAGUCUUAAGAUAUGCAUUGCUACGAAAGCGGACUAUCUAUCUAUCUAGCACAUAUUGCGAUUCCCUGAGACCUGAAGAUGCUUAUUUAUGCCUCAUUAACUUCACUUUGGUAACCAAACGUUUUUCCAAGGGAACAACAACAAUGGGUUCAAGUACGACACUACACACAACAACAACAAAGCUGCGCAUAACAACAGUAGCAGCAACAGGUUUCAGCUUGUGGCCAUAUCUACAAAAAAAAUUAGUGUAUAUAAUUUAGUAAAAAGGAUAGAAUACGAAAUCAAAAUAAGAAUCAAAUACAUAAGUCUGGUUAUAAGUCGGCUAUCAAAUACACAUAUUAAGUCUGGUUAUAAGUCGGCUAUCAAAUACACAUAUUAAGAAAAUAAUUAAGUUUUCUAUGUUAUUUUAUUAGAAUUCCACAUUAUUUGGAUCAAUAAAUAAGGUAAAGAUAAGGAUUGAACUUAUUUUUUAAUAUAUAAAAAGUAAAACUGAUAUUCAUAUUGAAACAAAAUUUAAAAUACAAAAUACUUACAUGAAACAGAAGGAGAAUAAUUAGAGUAUUUUAGAUCACAAACUGGAAACUAAAACCCUAAAAAAUUAUUAAAAAGAAUAAAAUUUUACACCGCAGAGAGAAAAUGUGCAAAAAAAUUAACUUGGAAGCUAAUUUGCUAAAGAUUAAUAUCAAAUAAAUAAUUAUUAUUCAAUAACCAAAAUAUAAAAAAUACAAUA